rnacentral:lncRNA from 1 species
GCAGGUGUUAGUGAAGGCGCAACUUUAUUUCCUUAAACUAGCGCAGGGGCCCAUAGCGCCACGAGUCGACUCCGACCAAGCCUCGCCCAACUCCGGACUCCGACAGGGCCUCGCCAGUGGGUUCAGGGAUCCCCUAGUGGUAUAACCCACCCUACUCCUCCAGCGCAUCCACGUUGGCAGGCGGCAGGACUGACUCGGCCCUCCAGGCCUCCGCCAACGUUGACUCAGCCCCUCAGGCCUCCGCCAACAAUCCCCCCCCCAACGUGAUGCCUGGGUUUCGAACUCGAGACCUAUGGCUCUGAUACCAAUUGUCAGGAUCAAGCGCUACCAUUACAC